rnacentral:rRNA from 1 species
UACGAAGGGGGCUAGCGUUGUUCGGAAUCACUGGGCGUAAAGGGCGCGUAGGCGGCUUUGUAAGUCGGGGGUGAAAGCCUGUGGCUCAACCACAGAAUUGCCUUCGAUACUGCAUGGCUUGAGACCGGAAGAGGUAAGUGGAACUGCGAGUGUAGAGGUGAAAUUCGUAGAUAUUCGCAAGAACACCAGUGGCGAAGGCGGCUUACUGGUCCGGUUCUGACGCUGAGGCGCGAAAGCGUGGGGAGCAAACAGGAUUAGAUACCCCCGUAGUCC